GGGUCAGUAGGUUGGUCGUGCCACCGGUACGUACUGGUCUCACUGAUUCCUCCUUCCUGAAGAACCGUAAUGCCAUUAAUUUGGUGUUGCGGGGAAACAGGACUGUUACUUUGAAAAAAUUAGAGUGUUUAAAGCAGGCAUUUUGCUCGAAUACAUUAGCAUGGAAUAAUAAAAUAGGACGGUUGGUUCUAUUUUGUUGGUUUCUAGGAUCACCGUA
rnacentral:rRNA from 1 species